GAUGAACGCUGGCGGCGUGCCUAAUACAUGCAAGUCGAGCGAACGGACGAGAAGCUUGCUUCUCUGAUGUUAGCGGCGGACGGGUGAGUAACACGUGGAUAACCUACCUAUAAGACUGGGAUAACUUCGGGAAACCGGAGCUAAUACCGGAUGAUAUUUUGAACCGCAUGGUUCAAAAGUGAAAGACGGUCUUGCUGUCACUUAUAGAUGGAUCCGCGCUGCAUUAGCUAGUUGGUAAGGUAACGGCUUACCAAGGCAACGAUGCAUAGCCGAGCUGAGAGGGUGAUCGGCCACACUGGAACUGAGACACGGUCCAGACUCCUACGGGAGGCAGCAGUAGGGAAUCGUCCGCAAUGGGCGAAAGCCUGACGGAGCAACGCCGCGUGAGUGAUGAAGGUCUUCGGAUCGUAAAACUCUGUUAUUAGGGAAGAACAUAUGUGUAAGUAACUGUGCACAUCUUGACGGUACCUAAUCAGAAAGCCACGGCUAACUACGUG
rnacentral:rRNA from 1 species